rnacentral:rRNA from 1 species
GACGAACCGUGCGAACGUUAUUCGGAAUCACUGGGCUUAAAGCGCGUGCAGGCGGCCCGGCACGUCUCCUGCUGAAAGCCCCCGGCUCAACCGGGGAACGGGCGGGGAUACGACCGGGCUCGAGGGGUGUAGGGGGAUCGGGAACUCACGGUGGAGCGGUGAAAUGCGUUGAGAUCGUGAGGAACGCCCGCGGCGAAAGCGCGGUCCUGGGCACCACCUGACGCUGAGACGCGAAAGCCAGGGGAGCGAA